rnacentral:rRNA from 1 species
AGAGGUGGCAAGCGUUGUUCGGAUUUAUUGGGUGUAAAGGGCAGGUAGGUGGUCAUGUAAGUCCGCUGUGAAAUCCUAGGGCUCAACCCUAGAACUGCAGUAGAAACUACACGACUUGAGUGUCGGAGAGGUGAGGGGAAUUCUCGGUGUAAGGGUGAAAUCUGUAGAUAUCGAGAGGAAUACCAGUGGCGAAGGCGCCUCACUGGCCGACAACUGACACUGAGCUGCGAAAGCAAGGGGAGCAAACAGGAUUAGAUACCCUGGUAGUCCUUGCCGUAAACGAUGUGGAUUGGGUGUUGGGAGUGUCGAUCCUCUCAAUGCCGAAGUUAACACAUUAAAUCCACCACCUGGGGAGUACGGUCGCAAGACUG